rnacentral:tRNA from 1 species
UGGGUUGUGGCUCAGCAGUAAAGUGCUUGCCUGGCAUGCGCAAGGCCCUGGGUUCGAAUCUCAGCACCACAU